GAUGAAGAACGCAGCGAAAUGCGAAAAGUAAUGUGAAUUGCAGAAUUCAGUGAAUCAUCGAAUCUUUGAACGCACAUUGCGCCAGGUAGUAUUCUGCCGGGCAUGCCUGUUCGAGCGUCAUUUCAACCAUCAAGCCCCAGCGCUUGUGUUGGGGGCCUGCGGCUGCCGCAGCCCCCUAAAAGCAGUGGCGGGCUCGCUAUCACACCGAGUGCAGUAGUUCAUCUUCUCUCCGGUCUUGUGAGGCGGGUUCCGGCCGUGAAACACCCCACUACAUUCAAGGUUGACCUCGGAUCAGGUAGGAAUACCCGCUGAACUUAAGCAUAUCAAUAAGCGGAGGA
rnacentral:misc_RNA from 1 species